UGCUACCAGUUUUUUAGCCUUUGGAUCAACUCCUUUCAUUAUUUCUAACCAUUGGAUUAAAUACUAUAACCCAGUGGGGACCACUAAACCGUAGGGGGACCACUCAACUCCAACUGACUAAUAUCAUCCUGACCCUACAAUUUUUCAUCCAAGGGUUAAAAACUUGAUAGCAAAAAGAGCGUUUUACUAUUAAUAGUAUUCCAGCCUAAUUAUAUAUAUAUAUAGAGUUCGGCUACUAUACUAUCUAUAGUACGGGAGAUCCCAUACUAUAGUGUCGUUUUCGAUCUUCGGGCGUUCAAAUUAACGAUCCACAUCGUUAAAACUGAUUUAGGAUAUUUAAAGUUUUUAGAAAAAUUUUUUUAUAUUUUUUCGACAUAGUUUACUUUAUGAUCAAAACAUUUCAAAAUUGUCAAUUUUCAAUGGCUAUUAUGACGAGUUGGGAGUUUAACGG
rnacentral:lncRNA from 1 species